CUACAUCCUAAGUGGAGUACUUCACAUUUGUCCUUUACUGUAUUUCAUCCUAUUUACUUCAGACCAUUUCUCCAGUUUGUCUAGAUCUUUUUGAAUUUUAAUCCUAUCCUGCAAAGCACUUGCAACCCCUCCCAGCUUGGUAUUGUCUACAAAC